GUCAGGUUGGCCGAGUGGACUAAGGCGUUAGAUUCAAGCUCUGAUUCUCGAAAGUGAGCGUGGGUUCGAAUCCCACACCUGACA